rnacentral:misc_RNA from 1 species
ACAAACUUGGUCAUUUAGAGGAAGUAAAAGUCGUAACAAGGUUUCCGUAGGUGAACCUGCGGAAGGAUCAUUAGAGAAUACAAGCACCCUCACGGGCGCUGACCCUCUCUCAUUCACACACCUGUGCACUUUACAGGUUGCGUGUAUUCGCGACCUGCUUUUUUACACACACAUCCAAAUGUCAAUGAACGUAGAUAUAAUAAAAAUACAACUUUCAACAACGGAUCUCUUGGCUCUCGCAUCGAUGAAGAACGCAGC